AUUGAACGCUGGCGGCAGGCCUAACACAUGCAAGUCGAACGAGUGGCGGACGGGUGAGUAAUGUCUGGGACACUGCCCGAUGGAAGGGGAUAACUACUGGAAACGGUAGCUAAUACCGCAUACCAUCGGAUGUGCCCAGAUGGGCUUAGCUAGUAGGUGGGGGAAAGGCUCACCUCGGCGACGAUCCCUAGAUGGUCUGCGAGGAUGACACGCCACACUGGAACUGAGACACGGUCCAGACUCCUACGGGAGGCAGCAGGGUGGAAUAUUGCACAAUGGGCGCAAGCCUGAUGCAGCCAUGCCGAGUGUAUGAAGAAGGCCUUCGGGUUGGAAAGUACUGUCAGCGAGGAGGCGUUACUCGCAGAAGAAGCACCGGCUAACUCCGUGCCAGCAGCCGCGGUAAGUC
rnacentral:rRNA from 1 species